rnacentral:lncRNA from 1 species
UCAAAAUACAACCACUAGUGAAUUAGAUCACUUACUAUCUUUAGAUUUCUAAGUGUUGAUUUCAACUUCUAAUAUCUCCUUCAUCUUAACUUAAAAUCCAUCAAAUAGUAUGCCAAAAAUAUAGCCAAAAGAGUGUUCUCUUUAACUUCAAUCACCAAUCCUUUAUUUCUUUCUAUAUAUACAUGUUAUGUCCAAAAGAGUGUGAGUAGAUACAAAAUCAAUACCUUAACUUUGAGCGCCCAUAUCUCUUUAAUAUAAACUCCAAAUCACACAAAAUUUGUACC